GGGCCUUGGUGGGGGGCGUGGGCGAAGUUCGUCCGCGGGACUCGGAAUGGCACCAGACUUGGCGGGCGGCCUCCGUGUGCCAAAAAUAGGCCACGGGCACAGCCGCGCCCAAAAAACAGCCCCAGAAGUUCGGGGUCCCAAGACCCACCAGCGGAAAAAUGGCCAAAAAACGGGUGGGCUAUAGCCUAGGUGGGGGGCGUGGGCGAAGUUCGUCCGCGGGACUCGGAAUGGCACCAGACUUGGCGGGCGGCCUCCGUGUGCCAAAAAUAGGCCCCGGGCACAGCCGCGCCCAAAAAACAGCCCCCGAAGUUCGGGGUCCCAAGACCCCCCAGCGGAAAAAUGGCCAAAAAACGGUGGGCUAUAGCCUUGGUGGGGGGCGUGGGCGAAGUUCGUCCGCGGGACUCGGAAUGGAACCAGACUUGGCGGGCGGCCUCUGUGUGCCAAAAAUAGGCCACGGGCACAGCCGCGCCCAAAAAACAGCCCCCGAAGUUCGGGGUCCCAAGACCCCCCAGCGGAAAAAUGGCCAAAAAACGGUGGGCUAUAGCCUUGGUGGGGGGCGUGGGCGAAGUUCGUCCGCGGGACUCGGAAUGGCACCAGACUUGGCGGGCGGCCUCCGUGUGCCAAAAAUAGGCCACGGGCACAGCCGCGCCCAAAAAACAGCCCCCGAAGUUCGGGGUCCCAAGACCCCCCAGCGGAAAAAUGGCCAAAAAACGGUGGGCUAUAGCCUUGGUGGGGGGCGUGGGCGAAGUUCGUCCGCGGGACUCGGAAUGGCACCAGACUUGGCGGGCGGCCUCCGUGUGCCAAAAAUAGGCCACGGGCACAGCCGCGCCCAAAAAACAGCCCCCGAAGUUCGGGGUCCCAAGACCCCCCAGCGGAAAAAUGGCCAAAAAACGGUGGGCUAUAGCCCUGGUGGGGGGCGUGGGCGAAGUUCGUCCGCGGGACUCGGAAUGGCACCAGACUUGGCGGGCGGCCUCCGUGUGCCAAAAAUAGGCCACGGGCACAGCCGCGCCCAAAAAACAGCCCCCGAAGUUCGGGGUCCCAAGACCCCCCAGCGGAAAAAUGGCCAAAAAACGGUGGGCUAUAGCCUUGGUGGGGGGCGUGAGCGAAGUUCGUCCGCGGGACUCGGAAUGGCACCAGACUUGGCGGGCGGCCUCCGUGUGCCAAAAAUAGGCCACGGGCACAGCCGCGCCAAAAAAACAGCCACCGAAGUUCGGGGUCCCAAGACCCCCCAGCGGAAAAAUGGCCAAAAAACGGGUGGGCUAUAGCCUUGGUGGGUGGCGCACAAAAGUUCGUCCGCGGGACUCGGAAUGGCACCAGACUUGGCGGGCGGCCUCCGUGUGCCAAAAAUAGGCCACGGGCACAGCCGCGCCCAAAAAACAGCCCCCGAAGUUCGGGGUCCCAAGACCCCCCAGCGGAAAAAUGGCCAAAACACGGGUGGGCUAUAGCCUUGGUGGGGGGCGUGGGCGAAGUUCGUCCGCGGGACUCGGAAUGGCACCAGACUUGGCGGGCGGCCUCCGUGUGCCAAAAAUAGGCCACGGGCACAGCCGCGCCCAAAAAACAGCCCCCGAAGUUCGGGGUCCCAAGACCCACCAGUGGAAAAAUGACCAAAAAAUGGUGGGCUAUUGCCUUGGUGGGGGGCGUGGGCGAAGUUCGUCCGCGGGACUCGGAAUGGCACCAGACUUGGCGGGCGGCCUCCGUGUGCCGAAAAUAGGCCACGGGGCACAGCCGCGCCCAAAAAAAAACCCCCGAAGUUCGGGGUCCCAAGACCCCCCAGCGGAAAAAUGGCCAAAAAACGGUGGGCUAUAGCCUUGGUGGGGUGCGUGGGCGAAGUUCGUCCGCGGGACUCGGAAUGGCACCAGACUUGGCGGGCGGCCUCCGUGUGCCAAAAAUAGGCCACGGGCACAGCCGCGCCCAAAAAACAGCCACCGAAGUUCGGGGUCCCACGACCCCCCAGCGGAAAAAUGGCCAAAAAACGGGUGGGCUAUAGCCUUGGUGGGUGGCGCCCAAAAGUUCGUCCGCUGGACUCGGAAUGGCACCAGACCUGGCGGGCGGCCUCCGUGUGCCAAAAAUAGGCCACGGGCACAGCCGCGCCCAAAAAACAGCCCCCGAAGUUCGGGGUCCCAAGACCCCCCAGCGGAAAAAUGGCCACAAAACGGGUGGGCUAUAGCCUUGGUGGGGGGCGUGGGCGAAGUUCGUCCGCGGGACUCGGAAUGGCACCAGACUUGGCGGGCGGCCUCCGUCUGCCAAAAAUAGGCCACGGGCACAGCCGCGCCCAAAAAACAGCCCCCGAAGUUCGGGGUCCCAAGACCCCCCAGCGGAAAAAUGACCAAAAAAUGGUGGGCUAUAGCCUUGGUGGGGGGCGUGGGCAAAGUUCGUCCGCGGGACUCGGAAUGGCACCAGACUUGGCGGGCGGCCUCCGUGUGCCAAAAAUAGGCCACGGGCACAGCCGCGCCCAAAAAACAACCCCCGAAGUUCGGGGUCCCAAGACCCCCCAGCGGAAAAAUGGCCAAAAAACGGAGGGCUAUAGCCUUGGUGGGGUGUGUGGGCGAAGUUCGUCCGCGGGACUCGGAAUGGCAACAGACUUGGCGGGCGGCCUCCGUGUGCCAAAAAUAGGCCACGGGCACAGCCGCGCCCAAAAAACAGCCCCCGAAGUUCGGGGUCCCAAGACCCCCCAGCGGAAAAAUGGCCAAAAAACGGGUGGGCUAUAGCCUUGGUGGGGGGCGUGGGCGAAGUUCGUCCGCGGGACUCGGAAUGGCACCAGACUUGGCGGGCGGCCUCCGUGUGCCAAAAAUAGGCCACGGGCACAGCCGCGCCCAAAAAACAGCCCCCGAAGUUCGGGGUCCCAAGACCCCCCAGCGGAAAAAUGGCCAAAAAACGGGUGGGCUAUAGCCUUGGUGGGGGGCGUGGGCGAAGUUCGUCCGCGGGACUCGGAAUGGCACCAGACUUGGCGGGCGGCCUCCGUGUGCCAAAAAUAGGCCACGGGCACAGCCGCGCCCAAAAAACAACCCCCGAAGUUCGGGGUACCAAGACCCCCCAGCGGAAAAAUGGCCAAAAAA
rnacentral:lncRNA from 1 species